rnacentral:rRNA from 1 species
GUAGGGCGCGAGCGUUGUCCGGAUUUAUUGGGCGUAAAGAGCUCGUAGGCGGCUCGUUGCGUCGGCUGUGAAAACCCGCAGCUCAACUGUGGGCUUGCAGCUGAUACGGGCGGGCUGGAGUUCGGUAGGGGAGACUGGAAUUCCUGGUGUAGCGGUGAAAUGCGCAGAUAUCAGGAGGAACACCGGUGGCGAAGGCGGGUCUCUGGGCCGAUACUGACGCUGAGGAGCGAAAGCGUGGGGAGCGAACAGGAUUAGAUACCCUGGUAGUCCACGCUGUAAACGUUGGGCGCUAGGUGUGGGGGGCCUCUCCGGUUCUCUGUGCCGCAGCUAACGCAUUAAGCGCCCCGCCUGGGGAGUACGGCCGCAAGGCUAAA